CUUUCUGUUCAGAUUUGUUUCUGAAUAGUAAGUGGAGGUAUUACAUCUACAGUAAAUGGACAUUUGCUGAUAAAGUCAAGCACAGAGAAACAAAAAAGGCGUCUAGAGGUGGAAGAAUGUGGCUCAAAAGUCAGAUCUUGCUCUUAUAUUGCAUUGCAAGUGAAGUUUGGAUGGCAAAGCAGCUUAACUCUAGAAGAAAUUUGCCCCAGGGACUUUACUCUGUUGAAGAUCGUGGCUCUGCAGGGUGGGACAGGCUAAAAAGAAGUCUGUACCAAGGAAAGUCCUGCAGGAUACGAGGCUGCUGCACAGGAAGAAAUGAUGACUGCAGCUUUAACAUUGCCUCCAGAGCAGCUAUAUGUUACUGUGACCAGUUCUGUGCCACAGGUCCUCCUGGCCCUGUGGACUGUUGUGCUGACUACUGGGAUGUUUGUGACAACACUGUUGAGCCCACCAGGUCAGAUGAGCCUUGGCCACCUCCAACAUCAGGUUGUUAUAAAGACGGCCGAUAUUACGGAGAAGGAACAAUAAUUAAAGACAACUGCAAUUCCUGCAAAUGCUUCCAAAGUAACUGGAAAUGUUCAAAUGAAGUAUGUCUUGUUCGCCCAGACUUGAUUCAGAACAUCAAUUCUGGAGAUUAUGGAUGGAAAGCUGACAACUACAGUCAAUUCUGGGGAAUGACAUUGGAAGAAGGUUUCAAAAAGCGACUGGGCACACUACCUCCAUCUCAUUCUUUGCUGAAUAUGAAAGAAAUUCCAGGAAGUUCACCUCCGGAAGGAAAAUUUCCUGAGUUUUUUGCAGCCACUUAUGCAUGGCCUGAGUGGAUUCACGAUCCUUUGGAUCAACGAAAUUGUGGAGCAUCCUGGGCUUUUUCAACUGCAAGUGUUGCAGCAGAUAGAAUAGCAAUUCAUUCUGGUGGUGAGAUCACAGACAACCUUUCUGUUCAGAACUUGAUUUCUUGUGAUACCAAGAAUCAGCAUGGAUGUAAUGGUGGAAGUAUUGAUGGUGCUUGGAGAUAUCUGAAAACACAUGGGGUUGUAUCUUAUGCUUGUUAUCCAUCAUUUUGGAAGCAUCACUUGGAUCCACCAGGUGAAAAUCACUGUUAUGUGUCAAGUGAAUAUGGACAAAACUAUACAAAUGGGCCAUGCCCCAAUGACUUAGAAGAAUCCAAUCGGCUAUACCGCUGUGGCUCUCACUACAGGGUCUCCUCGAAAGAAACUGAUAUAAUGGAAGAAAUCAUGGACAAAGGUCCAGUGCAAGCUAUAAUGAAAGUGUAUGAAGAUUUUUUCCUUUACAAAGAAGGGAUCUACAGACACUCCUACAAAGCAGGUUCCAAAUGGAAAACACAUUCAGUCAAACUACUUGGGUGGGGUUCAUUACCUGGCAAAAAUGGACAGAAACAGAAAUUCUGGAACAGUGGAAGACACAUUCCGUGGAAACCUAGAUCAGGAUAUAGUCUGAGGAUUUUUGCUCUGCCAGAUAGAAGACACUUUGAUGAAACAGAACUCCCCAGAGAAUUUGCUUCUUCCUUCUGGGGUUUUUUCAAACUUGAAUUUUUGCUUCAAAUGUUGUUGUUGCAGGAUCAGUUCAUGAAAGAAUUCAAAUGCAUGUUCUCAAAACUAUCUGAAAAGACAGUGAAGACAGACUAGAUUAACAUUCAUAAGGAAAUGUAUCCUGCAGCAGUGCUGUGUCCCAUGCAAGCUACAAACAUACAGCUACUGGUGCACUACUUACCUGGGAGAAGGAGGCAGCUGGGACCAUGAUCUAGAAAUCAUUACCACCUACUUUUGACAGAAAGCUCUCCAGGACAGGAUCUGCAGUUAGGAGUGAAGAUAUCCAGCUGCCAACCUGGGCAAAGGAUGUGGUACUCAAUAACUCCUCAAGGCUCACUGUAAACCACCUCUUUUCAUCCAGGGACCCCAACAAGAAGCUUAAAGCAUGCACGUCUCCUUCCAAGCCACACAUACCAACAUACUUCCACACCAGGAGAGUCAGGUAGCUAAAAGUUAGGUGCUGAAAAACGUUAAUGCCUGAAUCCUGAGCUUAACAGGGAGGGAAACAUAUCAGUUACAGAAUUUGCUCUAGUGUUGUAGGUAGUGGAAAAGCAUUGGUUUGUUGCAUGCUGUAAAGGCAGCAUCUCAAUUUUACAAGCAAUGUUAAUUGGGAAACCUUUAGGGGAAAAGGCUGAAUUGUGAUUAAAAAAUCACUGAAAGAUAAGUAAUUGAAUUUAUUUUACUAAAAUCAAUAAAAAAGACCUUUAACUAAUGGCCGGGCUUUGACACAAGCCCUUACCGUGGUUACAAGCUGUGACUAAUACUGUGUCUUCCCAAAAUACAGAAGCACAGCAAGGAUUUUUCUGAGAAAUCAUGGAGGUAAAUAAAGGGAGCAAGUAGUAAUAUACACAAGGGACCAAAACAGAAUUUUAGUUGGAUUGAUUUGGAGUUAGACUCCAAAACUGAUGCUGAAUUUUUUAUUUUUUUUAUUUUUGUUUAAGUUGCUACUGGACACUGAAGACACCUACAAAAAUAAAUACUUCUACUUCAAUGAUCAAAGCAAACUGCUGAACACUAAUUAGCCACCUGAAGAUCUGUUUCUGGUCUCAGUAUCAGUUCUGCUGGAAGGACUCAGGGUACCCUGAGGUACCAAGUACCCAGAUCCUGCACUUCUUCCUGCUCCAGACCUGUAGAGAAGGGGCUCUCCACCACAGCCCAUCAGGUCACCAAUCUCUGAGCUGCCACCAGACCCCCCACAUUGCAAACAUGCAUAGAUAGGACUGUGAUUUAUGUCCAAGUGAGGCAUUAAGUUGGCCUUACUAUAAGAGUAAGUCAAGACUUUCUAUGAGAAACAAGCAGUCACAAAAUCCAGUCCUUAUUUCUGCUAUUUUACAUAUCUUAUAUGGUGUCUUUUUAAGUCACUGGCCAGUGAAAUAGUUUCAAGAGAAGCAAUGAGCAUCUGCUAAAGACUGAUGAUAAAAGAAAUGGGAAAUUGUGGUGUUUCCAUUUCAGUAUGUAGAAGAUUAUGUUUCCUACAUCCUUCAAAAUUUGUAAGUAUAGACAGUCUAAGUAACUGUGUUAGAGUUGGUCCCUCCUUUUUACUUCAUUUUUAUUAUUUAGCAGGAAAACAACUUUGUUAUUAGACUUACCUAAUCUUUUAGGUAAUGCUAAUCUUUUAGGUUUUUCUGUAAUCUUUUCUGACUAUUGGUUGCUCUUUUUCAUUUAGACCAGUCUCAAUGUAACUUUCUUUUCCUAUUCACUGAAUAGAGAGCUUACAUCACAGUUUAGAAUCCUAGACUAAACAUCUAAAGAGUAAUUCAAAAGCAUUUUUUUCCUUUAUCUUAUGGCAGCAAAUAUUUAAUUUAUAAAUUGUUAAGAGAAAACUUGAUAAUCUGGUUGAUAUUCUAGUUGUCCAAAAAAAAGAACCCUAACAGAUUUUUCUGAUAAACAGUUUUCUAUUAUCCUUAAUGGCAUUUUAUUGUCAAAGAAAUCUGGGAGAUUGCACUGAAAAAUAAUUGCUUGAUCUUCUGUCCUAAGACAUGCCUCUCAUAUUGGCAUCUGAGCAGUUACUAAUAGCAUGAAAGGAUUAAUUAUCUGACAGCCCAUUGCCAAAAGUGGAUGAGUGUAGAAACCUGGAUGGUAUUCAUUAGUUUGCUGUGUGACCUUCAAAAGACACUGGAAGUCUUGUGUGUGUGACUUGUCUUCUGUAAAACAGGAUCAUUUAUAUUUUUACAUGAUUGCAGAAAGCUUGAAGAGGGACAUUUUCAGGAGUCAUCUUUUUCUUGUUGUCACUUCUUGAAGGCAGAGCAGAGUCUUGCUGGCACCAGGUCUGAGCAAGGAGGAGUGGCCCUGGUGACUUUUUAGGGCAGGGCUUCCUGGACUUUGCAAGGCACAAUGGGAGGAUAUUUUGUGAAGAAUUUUUUUGCAAUGCUUUGUGAAUAAAUUAUAUAUAUAUAUAUUUGUGAACUUCAAUUCCUUUAUAUAACAUAGGGGAAACUUCAUAUUUCAUAGGCAUUUUAUAUACAUAUGUCUGUGGUUUAAAAAUUGACUAUAACUGUCAAAAGUAACAUGAGUGGAAUGGAGUAGAGCAGGGUGAGGGUGUAGGAAGAAUGGCAGAGCUACAGAGAAAUGUUAUUUAAUACAAUAGAUGAAGGAAUAUAGUCUGACCUGUUCGGCUCAGGGAAGGGUGGGCAUCUUGCUUACCUCAUGCUGAAUAUCUUUCAUGGCUUAAUCUAGUUCAGUCAAGAUGUAACACUCCAGACUGUGUUUGGGGAAUUGAGGGAAGAAAUGCUUUUAGAAAAUUCUCUGUACUCAUUCUGAGUGUUAGUUCUGAUGCCUUUUUGCUAUCACCAUAUGCAUCUUCUGUUUGUCAAAUCAACAACAGAGUACUGUUAUCCAUGCUCAGGAAUAUUUCAAGUGUUCCAGGGCAGGCUUACAAAGUGAAGGUGGAAAUUGCAAAAGAGAGUGGAAAAAGGUGAUCAUUCAUAGGACUGGCCAAGCAGCAAGUCUUCAUCAGCACAAGGGCAAUGCAAUAAUGGUCCUCCUGUUAGCAUGGUUAAGCAGGACAUUUUAGAAUAUGGCACCAGAACAUGGUUGUACUGGCAAAGGCUCAGAUGCUGAGCAUGCAGCUGAUACUGCUGGCUCCCAUUAGACUUGUGCAAAGGGUACUGAAGAGGAUAUUAGAAUGAUCUCUAACAACAACCCAGCAUCAGAGAGGCUCCUAUUCCUUGUGUCCACACUCACUGGAAGGGAAGAAAGUGAGCCAUUAGUAAUGGGACAAAAAAGAAUGGAUAGGGAGUGGAAAUGGCAUUCAUUUCAAGCUAAAAUUAAAUUUCUGGGUCAUUUUGUUUCACCUCUGAUUCAUUUAAAAGUUUGAUUAACCAGGCCUGGCUUUUGUUUAAUAGAGACCAUAAUGAUAUUGGCUUUAUAACUAAUUAUGCAUAUCACUGACAAGGCAAAUGAUUUGAUAUGGUCUCUUAAGUCCAGGUCUUUACAUACACUGACAAAACGAACAUUUAUGCAGAUUUCAUCCUACAUGCUCCCACACUGUCAAAUUCUGAUUACUUCAUCUGGAUAUCUACUCUGAUCCUAUUGACUGAUGCAUCUUACAAAUGGAAGAGAUACAUCCAAAGAAAAUGUAAACAUCAUCACCCCAUGUGUCUGUAUUCCCCACCCCACCACCCAAACAAAACAAAUGAAACAAAAAAAAAAAAAAAAAAAAACAAAAAACAAAAUUCAUUUUAUUCAAAGGCUGCAAAGAUUUUAGGUGAAAUUUUAGUUCUAUUGAAGGCAGUGUCUUCAAUAGUAAAAGAAUGUGGGAUAUGGAUAUAUAAGGUGAUCAAAUCACAGAAGGUGGACCAGGCACUGCAUGUGUUGGGCUUUUAUAGUACAAGAAAUAGGGUCUGAGAAACUGAGAGUUGCAAAUCUGAAGCUGAUGAAAGGGGAGUGUUUCUAUCCUGUGCAUAGUCACUUCAGGAAUAAUGUGUCACAAUCUUCACAUCUCUGAAUGAAGGGCUGAGAGUCAGCAUUAGCAGUUGCAUAAAAUCAGUCUUGAAUUACAAAAUGAGAACGUGGAGGUAUAAUCCUCCACAGAAAGAAAACAGUUCACAAACAGGAAACAACAGGGAAUGAUCAUUACAAAUAUCCAUCAUCAGUAAAAGAAGAUGAAAAACAAAAUAGAUGAGCUUUGGAAAAAUGCUUAAGAUGUGAUCAUACAUUUCUGAAAUCCAGGGAAGUGAGAGUAUUCUAACAUAUUCUUGUAAACCACUCUUUUUUGCCAUCUUGCUUCAAGAAACAGAGAUACGCUAUACAGAAGAGAUUCCAUAGUUUUUGCUGAAAAUAAAUACUAAAAAAGAGAUAAUAGUGUAUAUUUAGGGUGUGUAUUGUCUGCACCAGCAGUAGAUAAAAGGUUGUAACACUGGGUAAGCUGGUGUUUCCCAACAUGGGCAGAAACUGCACUCUGUGCCUUAAACAGAAUUAAACCAGAACUCAUGUUUUCUCAAGGCUGGGUUGAGCUGUGGAUUCCAGAGGCCUUUGCCUGAAGUCUUAGUUGGAUUUACUCAAGGCUGGGUUGAGCUAUGGAUUACAGAUGCCUUUGCCAGAAGUAUUAUUUGAAGAACUGGUGAGCCUUCUACUUUCUGGAAAUGGCUGAGAAACCACUUUAUUGUAUAGCAGCUUAAAGAAAAACAAAACAAAACAAACGAACAAAAAAAAAAAAAAAAUGUUUGAGGCAAGGAAAAAGUUAAGUCCUUAAUUAAAAACUUAGAAAGAAUAGGAUAGGAACUGGGGAGUGGGGGCUGGAGUAGAUGACCUAAUGUUCCUUCCAGCAUGAAGGGAUUAUCCUAUGAUCCUUUGAAAACAUGAGGAUAAAAGCUCAGAAAAGCAUCAGAUCUCAGUCUCCUAUCUUUAUAGUAGUAUGGGAUUCUCUGAUCACUUUCCUGGCUUCAAGGGGCAAGCUCAAUAUUACUGCUCUUUAUUUAAUAUCACCAGAAUGCCCUUAUUAAUCUGGAAACUAGGGGUUAUCUGUACUUUUGCCUUGGCUUAGAUAUGUGGCACUUGUGAAAAUGUUAAUGGAUCACUCCUGAUUUUAUUUGAAAAUCAGUGAGAUUCUCCUCUUCCUAAUGCUGAUUUCUCUACACAUCUAUGCCUUUUUCCCCUAGUAAAUUUCUGAGUUACAAACACAGAUUUGCAAUAUUUUACUAAUUAUGUAUUGCUAAGGUAUGUGGUUUUUUUCUUCACAGCUGUCUUCAUGUCUGCCAGUUCUUACAGAGACUAUUAAUGGCAUAUGAAAUUAUAUCUUUUCCUUUAAAGGGCAUCCUGUUACAAUAUGUUAUUGGUCUCCAGAUCAGUAAUAUGUUAAUAAAUUCAUGGUAUUAAAAGCCAGAGCAGUCUGAAAAAGAAAAAAAAAAAAAGAAAAAAAAAAUAUUAGGAAAAAAAAUUAGAACAUUUUCAUGAAAACUUCCACGUUGUUUAACAACUUGAAAAUAGCAUCAUUUUUCAAGCAUUCUAAUGCAGAAAAGAUUACUGAGGACACACAGUAAUAUGUCAGUCACCCUAAUCAGCGAUCACAACUACUGAGUAACAACUCACACACAAUUUUAUCUUUCCAUUCUUGCUGGAUUUAUUUCAUUCUGUCAGAAGAAUAAAAAAGGUGCUGACUUUACCUUUGUUUCACUUGGAUUUAGCAACUGAGAUAUUUGUUAAAAUUGAGUACUUUAACAUAUUUUUUUUCCUGCCAUAUGUCAUUCUGCACAUAAGAUAUGAGUUUAUCUAAAGACCAGAUCCUGAAGCCCACUGAGUCUGUUAUUAUAUAACUGAUUCAGCUUUGAUUUAAGUUCAGAAUGUUUGGCUUUUAAUUGCACAGAAAUCUAUAAGGCAGGAGGUGAAUCAUUGUGACUCACUUAGGGACUUAGUUAGAGAGUCAUUUGGGAAUCUUUCCUACACAAAAUUAACCUUGCAAACAUGAAUAGAUACAAUCUACUUGUUAAAGGAAAAAGAGUAGCACCUGAGCUAUAUUUGUGCCAUAAUUGAUUUUGCAACUCUUUUUAUACCUCCCUUCAACAUCUUGCAUCACAUCUACAGAAUUACUUCUAGCUUUUCAUAAAAUGUCUGAUACAUAUUUUAACAAAAUCUAUGAAAAAAGAUUAUUUGAACUGAAUUAUUUUUCUUAGUGAAACUAAGAAAUAAAAUCUAAAUAAAGGUAUCAUUCCCUUUGCAUUUUGAAUACAGUUGGUCCUAGGAAGAGGAGUUACUCUUGUGCUGGCAGAUUCUGAAGUACUCUUAUCACACCAGAAAAUCAAGCUCCUUGAAAUUGCAAAGUUUUUUUUUCCUCAGUGACAGAAAGAAAAAUCAAAUUGAUGAGCAGUGAGUAAUUCUAUGAGGAAAAAAAAAAAAUAGCUUGGGCAAGUAAGGAAAGGCAAGUCAAAUCUUAAUAGGUAUAUAUCUGACAAUUCAGGUCUAUGGCCCCACUAUUUUUAACCUGAGCAGGACCUUAUCAAAUUACAGAGAAAUUCCUCCACUGAAGAGAAAUUCAGUAAUCAACGUUUCUAACCUUGGUCAGAAAGGUUUCUAACCUUUGCUGUUUAAAAAAAAAAAAAAAAAAA